rnacentral:lncRNA from 1 species
UGGGGAGAGGCGGCCACCUGCUGCCCAGUGAAUCUCAGGCCACUGGGCUCUGGGAGACCUGAACAUGUUCUAGAAAGCAGCGCCAGGACAUUCGGUUGUUUUCCCAGCUGCAAAAGGAGGGGAACACAUAUUUCUGGCGGGGGCGCCUCUCUCAUGGGGUGGGGACAGAAGGGACCAGGAAAUGUGAAUAAUUGGGAUCCUUGUCCCACCUGAGGAUUCUCAGUCCAUCCUGGCCCAGUUCGGCGGCCCAGCCUGCUGUUGCCUUUUGUGUAUCUGCACUCACAGACUCUUGGGCCUGUCUCUGUCUCCAUCACUCAGGCACCCAGAAAGUCACGCCUGCACGUGCAACGGUUGGAUCUGAUAAUACUGGUGGUCGCAGUGACCGAGAGAUGUGUGGAGCCCUGGGAAUUGUCCAGGCUGGGCAGUGGUCACCGCCGCGCUGUUCCUUCUGCACAGCCAUAGCCUCUUGUUGACUUGGGCCUCAGAGCAGCCUCUCCAGAGUCAGCCAGGGUCCCUCCCUGCUCUGGGUGGUGUGGGGCAUGUUGCACGCCAUGUGGGAGCAGAGUGGGGCACGUGGUUUUCAUAUUGAGGAUGUCUCCUUCUCUUUGGGGCAGCCACAAGAGCUGUCCUCCCAUGUGUUGGUCAUUUUAACGGGAGGUUUGGGGACCUCCAGGCAUGCACAGUACAGUUCUGUUUGAGUUGCUUUUACAGUCGUAGAAGCUGAGGUUGGUGAAGACCCUUCAAGGGCCCCUAGACCAAGGUCCCAUCGGAUCCCCUCUGGGAUGGCCUCCCAGCAUCCUCGCUGACUUCGAGGCUGUCCAGUGGCAUUCACUGUUCAAGGAAUGUCCCCUCUGUGCCAGUAUUUGUGAGGAGCUGGAACAUCCUAGGGCACAAGGGCACAAGGCCAGGUUGCCACGGAGAUGCCAACUAAGUCAUGAAUAUUUCAU